AGUGUCAAGGGAUGGGAAUCGAACCCACGACCUUCCGCUUACCGGGCAGAUGACAUGACCACUAGGCCACAUGACC
rnacentral:tRNA from 1 species